ACCUGGGUGGCUCAGUCGGUUGAGCGUCUGACUUCAGCUCAGCUCAUGAUCUCACGGUUCGUGGGUUCGAGCCCCACGUCGGGCU
rnacentral:tRNA from 1 species